rnacentral:piRNA from 1 species
UACAGAGAUAAGGAACAGGUAGG